rnacentral:rRNA from 1 species
UACGAAGGGGGCUAGCGUUGCUCGGAAUCACUGGGCGUAAAGGGUGCGUAGGCGGGUCUUUUAAGUCAGGGGUGAAAUCCUGGAGCUCAACUCCAGAACUGCCUUUGAUACUGAGGAUCUUGAGUUCGGGAGAGGUGAGUGGAACUGCGAGUGUAGAGGUGAAAUUCGUAGAUAUUCGCAAGAACACCAGUGGCGAAGGCGGCUCACUGGCCCGAUACUGACGCUGAGGCACGAAAAGCGGUGG